GACGAACGCUGGCGGCGUGCUUAACACAUGCAAGUCGUACGGUAAGGCCCUUUCGGGGGUACACGAGUGGCGAACGGGUGAGUAACACGUGAGUAACCUGCCCACAACUUUGGGAUAACGCUAGGAAACUGGUGCUAAUACUGGAUAUGUGCUCCUGCUGCAUGGUGGGGGUUGGAAAGCUCCGGCGGUUGUGGAUGGACUCGCGGCCUAUCAGCUUGUUGGUGGGGUAGUGGCCUACCAAGGCGGCGACGGGUAGCCGGCCUGAGAGGGUGACCGGCCACAUUGGGACUGAGAUACGGCCCAGACUCCUACGGGAGGCAGCACUGGGGAAUAUUGCACAAUGGGCGCAAGCCUGAUGCAGCAACGCCGCGUGCGGGAUGACGGCCUUCGGGUUGUAAACCGCUUUCAGCAGGGACGAAGCUUUUUGUGACGGUACCUGCAGAAGAAGCACCGGCUAACUACGUG
rnacentral:rRNA from 1 species